rnacentral:lncRNA from 1 species
UGGAUCUGGAUAUUCAACUGCUCCUUGGAUAACAGUAACCAACACUCUUUCUACAUUCUCUGCACCUUGAUUUGCUAUAACUUCGCUCAUCCCACUGCCUGUGACUGUUUGCAGGAAAGCAAAGUAACUCCUCCGCAACAUCUGCUUCUCUAAAGCAGCAGACUGGUCAUUUUCUUCUGCUGGCCGGAGCAGCACUUCAAAAAUUGCAUGAAGCAGGGGCAUGAACAUCUG